AUUGAACGCUGGCGGCAUGCCUUACACAUGCAAGUCGAACGGUAACAGGUCUUCGGAUGCUGACGAGUGGCGAACGGGUGAGUAAUACAUCGGAACGUGCCUAGUAGUGGGGGAUAACUACUCGAAAGAGUGGCUAAUACCGCAUGAGAUCUACGGAUGAAAGCAGGGGAUCGCAAGACCUUGUGCUACUAGAGCGGCCGAUGGCAGAUCAGGUAGUUGGUGGGAUAAAAGCUUACCAAGCAGACGAUCUGUAGCUGGUCUGAGAGGACGAUCAGCCACACUGGGACUGGGACACGGCCCAGACUCCUACGGGAGGCAGCAGUGGGGAAUUUUGGACAAUGGGCGAAAGCCUGAUCCAGCAAUGCCGCGUGCAGGAUGAAGGCCUUCGGGUUGUAAACUGCUUUUGUACGGAACGAAAAGCCCCGGGUUAAUACCCUGGGGUCAUGACGGUACCGUAAGAAUAAGCACCGGCUAACUACGUGCCAGCAGCCGCCGUAA
rnacentral:rRNA from 1 species